GGACGUGGAGUACACGCAGUCGAGGGCCGCCGCGGAGGUCAGGGAGCGGUCUGCAAAACCGCGUACGCCGGUUCGAAUCCGGCCACGGCCU
rnacentral:tRNA from 1 species